rnacentral:rRNA from 14 species
UAACGACUUCCCCGCUGUCUCCAGCGCAGACUCAGCGAAAUUGAAUUCUCCGUGAAGAUGCGGAGUACCCGCGGUCAGACGGAAAGACCCCGUGCACCUUUACUACAACUUCGCAGUGGCAUUAGUGGCGAUAUGUGUAGGAUAGGCGGGAGACUUUGAAACCAGGGCGCCAGUCCUGGUGGAGUCGUCCUUGAAAUACCGCCCUUAUCCUCAUUGAUGUCUAACCGCGAGCCGUGAACCCGGCUCCGGGACCCUGCGUGGUGGGUAGUUUGACUGGGGCGG